rnacentral:rRNA from 1 species
GGACCCGCACAAGCGGUGGAUUAUGUGGAUUAAUUCGAUGCAACGCGAAAAACCUUACCUACCCUUGACAUGUGCGGAACGGGAUAGAGAUAUCCCGGUGCCCGAAAGGGAACCGCAACACAGGUGCUGCAUGGCUGUCGUCAGCUCGUGUCGUGAGAUGUUGGGUUAAGUCCCGCAACGAGCGCAACCCUUGCCAUUAGUUGCUACAUUCAGUUGGGCACUCUAAUGGGACUGCCGGUGACAAACCGGAGGAAGGUGGGGAUGACGUCAAGUCCUCAUGGCCCUUAUGGGUAGGGCUUCACACGUAAUACAAUGGCCGGUACAGAGGGCUGCCAACCCGCGAGGGGGAGCAAAUCCCAGAAAGCCGGUCGUAGUCCGGAUUGUUCUCUGCAACUCGAGAGCAUGAAGUCGGAAUCGCUAGUAAUCGCGGAUCAGCAUGUCGCGGUGAAUACGUUCCCGGGUCUU